rnacentral:lncRNA from 1 species
GAAGGUGGAGGUGGAGAUGGAGGGAAGAGGAGGCGGCGCCGCCCUUGUUACUGUCACUAAGGGCUACCGGUGCCGGUGGAGGAGGAAAUGGAGGAAGAGCAGGUGGCGCCGCUUUUGUCACCGUCGCCAAGGGCUGCAGAGGUGGUGGAGGAGGCGAUGAGGGUUGGAGAGAAAAAUAAGAACGAAGAAAAAUAAAAAAGAAGAAGAGCGAGGUAGGUCAUUUUCGUGUUUCGGCACUCCGCUACGGCGGACGGGGUAGAGAGGCUGUAAUAUACUGAAAUUUCGGAUUACAAUGCUAACUUUGAUCUGGGAGAUCGAAGAGAAGUUUGAAUUGGAUGUGUAUCGUUCCCUAGUAAUUCUGGAGGUGUGGAAAUAAUUUUGGAAAGUAAUUGAAUGUUUCGGUGCAAAUUGAAUGCGAAAUGAACUCGAAAGAGAGUUUUUGGAUUGCGAUGUUAAUUUUGAUUGGAUGGAUCAAAUUGAAGCAUAUGGAUAAUUUGUGA